GACGAACGCUGGCGGCGUGCUUAACACAUGCAAGUCGAACGGAAAGGCCCUGCUUUUGCGGGGUGCUCGAGUGGCGAACGGGUGAGUAACACGUGAGUAACCUGCCCUUGACUUUGGGAUAACUUCAGGAAACUGGGGCUAAUACCCGGUAGGAGCUCCUGCUGCAUGGUGGGGGUUGGUAAGUUUCGGCGGUUGGGGAUGGACUCGCGGCUUAUCAGCUUGUUGGUGGGGUAGUGGCUUACCAAGGCUUUGACGGGUAGCCGGCCUGAGAGGGUGACCGGCCACAUUGGGACUGAGAUACGGCCCAGACUCCUACGGGAGGCAGCAGUGGGGAGUAUUGCACAAUGGGCCGGAGCCUGAUGCAGCGACGCCGCGUGCGGGAUGACGGCCUUCGGGUUGUAAACCGCUUUCGCCUGUGACGAAGCGUGAGUGACGGUAAUGGGUAAAGAAGCCCCGGCUAACUACGUG
rnacentral:rRNA from 1 species